rnacentral:lncRNA from 1 species
UUUAUAAACAAGAGAGGUUUAAUUGGCUCACAGUUCUGCAUGGCUGGGGAGGCUCAGGAAACUUAGAAUCCUGGCGGAAGGCAAACGGAAAGCAAGGCACGUCUUACAUGCGGCAGGACAGAGACACAGCAGGGGAAACUGCCACUUUUAAGCCAUCAAGGUCUCGUGAGAACUCCCCCACCAUCAGGAGAACAGCAUAGGGAAAAUAACCCACGAUCCAAUCACCUCCUACCUGGUCCCUCCCUCCACACCUGGGGAUUACAAUUUGCGACGAGAUUUGGUUGGGGACACAGAGCUAAACCAUAUCAACUACAAAAUUAUAUUAAAGUUACAUAAUUAAUAAAUUGCAUCACAGCUCUCUCAGCCUGGCCUCCUUGAGUACCUUGAAGAGAGCCAGAUUUAGAAGAAAUAUGACUUCAGCUCUCAAGAUGGGAAAACAUCUAGCCAAGAGGCAGGGAUUCUGGAAAAUUGCUAAUAAAUUGUUACUUCCUGCUAUUAAAAGGAUCGAUAAGAUAAGGCCAGAAAUGACUGAUGAGAGGGCUUUGUGCUUCGGGGACUAAUGGGGGAAGAGGCGCCUGACAGCUCAGAACAGACU